rnacentral:rRNA from 1 species
CCUACGGGUGGCAGCAGUGAGGAAUAUUGGUCAAUGGACGAGAGUCUGAACCAGCCAAGUAGCGUGAAGGAUGACUGCCCUAUGGGUUGUAAACUUCUUUUAUAAAGGAAUAAAACGAGGCACGUGUGCCUUUUUGCAUGUCCUUUAUGAAUAAGAAUCGGCUCACCCCGGGCCAGCAGCCGCGGUAAUACGGUGGAUCCGAGCGUUAUCCGGAUUUAUUGGGUUUAAAGGGAGCGUAGAUGGGUUGUUAAGUCAGUUGUGAAAGUUUGCGGCUCAACCGUAAAAUUGCAAUUGAUACUGGCAGUCUUGAGUACAGUUGAGGUAAGCGGAAUUCGUGGUGUAGCGGUGAAAUGCUUAGAUAUCACGAAGAACCCCGAUUGCGAAGGCAGCUUACUAAACUGUGACUGACAUUGAUGCUCGAAAGUGUGGGUAGCAAACAGGAUUAGAUACCCCUGUAGUC